rnacentral:rRNA from 1 species
CGAUGAAUUACGGGGGGACUCCUACGGGAGGCAGCAGCAGGGAAUCAUCCGCAAUGGGCGCAAGCCUGACGGAGCAACGCCGCGUGAGUGAAGAAGGGUUUCGACUCGUAAAGCUCUGUUGUCGGGGACGAAUGUGGAGACGGCAAAUAGCCAUUUCCAAUGACGGUACCUGACGAGGAAGCCACGGCUAACUACGUGCCAGCAGCCGCGGUAAAU